UACAGAGGGUGCGAGCGUUAAUCGGAAUUACUGGGCGUAAAGCGUGCGUAGACGGUUCUGUAAGUCGGAUGUGAAAUCCCCGGGCUCAACCUGGGAAUUGCAUUCGAAACUGCAUAGCUAGGGUGCGGAAGAGGGAAGCGGAAUUUCCGGUGUAGCGGUGAAAUGCGUAGAUAUCGGAAGGAACAUCAGUGGCGAAGGCGGCUUCCUGGUCCAGCACCGACGUUCAGGCACGAAAGCGUGGGGAGCAAACAG
rnacentral:rRNA from 1 species